GUCCCAACGUACGUCCUGUUAUGCAUUUUUAAUUUCUACAGCUGCGAAAAUCUGAAAACAGCCACAUAUUGAUCAAUAAUGUUGUGAAAGUUAGUUUGAAAUUAAGUUAUGAUUGAAUUACCUCUUGUUAGUGAUGAAAUAGUUUGAUAACAAGCAGGAAAUGUUCAUGGGUCAAUGACAUCACCACAUUGAAAUGGUCUAUAUUGAUUAUAAUAGUUGUUUUUUACAGUAAAAGCAGAUAUAAUUUGAGCUGAUAGUAUAAAACACUUCAUAAUUAGUUUACCUUAAAUCAAAAGACAGUUUUAAGUGAACUAUGUGUUAAUUAGAAGAAAUAUAGGAUUUUAAUCUUUGCAGAUCUGCCCCUCCUCCUUCAGUGAUGCCCCUCCCCCUUAAAUGAAGCUCCUCCCUCUUCAGUUCAGCUAUAAAUACUGGAGUAUUCCCAUCAGUCUACAAGUGAAGACGAGCAUCAGAGCAUCAGGAAGAGGUGAUAUUUGAAGGACAGAGAGAAGAUGAGUGAUCCAGAACCCUGCAGAACUGAAGAGGAAGAGGCUGAAGAGCAAACAGACUUUACUGAAGAGAAUGAGGCGAAUGAUGAUGACGGACUUGUAAAAGGCGAGAAAAUCCCUCAUUUAUUGACUGAAGAUGCUUUUGUAAUGAAAAGGGAGAAGAAAUGCUUCACCUGCACUCAGUGUGGAAUAAGUUUUGGAUACAAAAAAACUCUCCAGCUUCACAUGAGGAUUCACACUGGAGAGAAACCGUACACAUGCGCUCAGUGUGGGAAGAGUUUCAGACAUUUAUCAAGCUUUAAUCGACACAAGCUGAUCCACACUGGAGAGAAAACACACGCAUGUGAUCAAUGCGGCAAGACAUUUUUGAGGGCUUCACAGCUGGAGAUCCAUCUGAGAGUUCACACUAAAGAGAAACCGUAUUCAUGCUCUGAGUGUGGGAAGAGUUUUAGACACCAGUCAAGUUUAAAAGACCAUCAGAAGAUCCACACUGGAGUGAAAGAGCACAUGUGCUUUGAGUGUCAGAAGACUUUUGUUACAGAUGGGGUGUUAAAACAACACCAGAGGAUUCACACUGGAGAGAAACCAUACGUGUGUUCACACUGCGACAAGAGAUUCAGACAGUUAUCAAACCUGAAAGCACAUGAGAGGAGUCACACUGGAGAGAAACCGUACAAGUGUGAUCAGUGUCUGAAGAGUUACACACGGUGGUCGCAUCUUAAGACACACAUGAAAAUCCACACCGGAUAAAAGCAGCACACGUGACAUCAACAUAAGCAAAGCAUUCUCUCAUGUGUUGCGGGUGUGACCAUCAGAAAAUACUGGAGAUUAGGUGUGGAAAGUAAAUCCAUCCGUCUCCAGUUGUUGCUUGUUCAUCUCUUUCCAUGAUUACUACGUUUACCUAAUAGGCAUUUCAUACACAGUGGCAAUUCAAAGUGCUUUACAUAAACAGGAAUAAAAGAAGCAAGAAUAAAAACAAAUAAUAAAAAUGAUUAGAUAAAAUGUGUUAAAAAAGAAUGAAGAGAAAGACAUAAUAGUGCGAUCUGCUGGACGCAGCACAGUGCUCAUUCAGUAAAGGCACAGCUAAACAGAUGUGUUUCAGUCUUGAUGUGAAUGUGCCUAAUGUUGGAGCACAUCUGAUCAUUUCUGGAAGCUGAUUCCAGCAGCCGGGGGCGCUGUUAGUAGCUAAAAGCUGAUUCCCCUUGCUUUGACUGAACUUAUGGAACUUCUAGUUUAUAUGAUCCUAGAGAUCUGAGUGAUCUGUUGGGUUUGUAUUCAGUGAGCAUAUCUGUGAUGUAUUGUGCUCUAGGCCAUAUAGUGAUUUAUAGAGCAGUAAUAAUACUUUAAACUCUAUUCUGGAUGUAACUGGGAGCCAGAGUAGAGACCUGAGGACAGGUGUGAUGUGCUCUGACUUCCUGGUUCUGGUCAGAAUCCUGGCCGCAGCGUUCUGGAUGAGCUGCAACUGUCUGACUGUGUUUUUGGGAAGACCAGUGUGGAGUCCAUUACAGUAAUCCACCCUGCUGCUGAUAAAAGCAUCAACAAGUUUCUCUAAGUCUUCACUAGAAACAAAGCAUCUGAUUCCUGCAAUGUUUCUGAGAUAAUAGUAUGCUGAUUUACUGACUGCUUUGACAUGACUGUUGAAGCUCAUGAAGGUCAGAAUGUAAAUGUACAUAUAACUUAUUUCAGCAGACUUGCAUUAAAAUGUUCAAAAUUAAAACUCUUCUCCAGUGUUUACAUUAAUUAAAUUUGUUGCCAAAAGGAAUCCACACAUCUCUGGAUCACCUGUCAUGUGUUCAGGUUGGCCUAGGUUAAAUACAAGCAGAUAUUAACAUUAAUUGAAAUACUUCCCUGCUGAAAAAUCCAACUUAAACCAGCCUAGGCUGGUUUAAGCUGGAUUUUUCAGCAGGGUUAAGUCAGUCACUGCAUUCAAAUAUAUAAUUUAAUAUUUGCCGCCAUCAAUUGGGCAGCUAAAUUGUAUGAGUGUGUGUGUGUGUGUGUGUUGAUGUUUCCCAGAGAUGGGUUGCGGCUGGAAGGGUAUCCGCUGAGUAAAAACGUGCUGGAUAAGUUGGCGGUUCAUUCCGCUGUGGCGACCACAGAUUAAUAAAGAGACUAAGCCUAAAAGAAAAUGAAUGAAUUCUGUAGCUAUAUCAGACUUUAGCUCGGUUGUUUGGCACUGUUUUUAUUAAUUAAAAUAUGACUUUCGCCAUCUUGUGUCUUUCCCCAGGAGACUGGAUUAUUUUCGCGCCAGUUAAGUGUGUACAGUAAAGCAUCAGGUAGGGGACAUUAUUUACCCCUCUUCAGCUUUCUUAUUGUUUUAGAUUUACUUCAUAAACAGAUUGUAACACUGAAAUACAUAUUUCAUGAUGUAUUUGGUCAAAAUAGUGAGGAUUAGGCCGUAUGAAAACCUUUAAAAACAUACAUCUACCCCACACGGUACCGACUCGUCUAUGUUUUGGUCCUGCAUAUGUUCUGCCGUCAUGACGACCGUCUCCCGCUUGUGACGGAAAAACAGCAUUCGCUGAGUAACACAGGCAGCCAAUCAGCACUCGUUGCGCAACAAAGGCAGCCAAUCAGCGUUCGCUGAGCAACACAGGCAGCCAAUCGGCGUUCGCUGAGCAACGUGCAGGCAAAAUAUCCCGCCCUCGGCGCUUAUUAUGAGGUGGAGAGAGAAUUAAUCGGAGCGUGUGUGUAAUUCCACUAAUGUUACUGGUGUUUUGUGUUCAUUUAAAGUAAGUGUUUUAUUUGUGUCAUCUGUAACGUUUGUGAGUGUGAUAUGCUUAGCUUUGCUGCCGUUUCUUGCGGUUUAAUCUGCUUCGAGUCAUGUAGACAAUGCUAAUAUACUUAGCAUCCGGUUAAUAUCUUAUAUUCAUUCACAGUUGCUUAUACUAAUGUGAUUUAUGUACAUUUUAUUAAAGGACCGUGAGUAAAUGAGGCAUCCAGAAAAAUCCUGCAAAGCUGGAGAGACUGAAGAAUGAAAAGGUUGGUGUUUAUUCCUGAUUGUUCAAUAAUGAGGCUGAAGAACAUUAAUAACAAAGAAGUUUUUUUUCAUUUUGUGCGCUAAAGGAAUUAAAAUUCCACAGAAAAACAAAUAGCCUGGUUCAGUUUUCAAUUAUUUCCAUGUAUGAAACAUUUAUUAUCAUAAGAUUAAAUGUCAUUUGCUGUGAUUUAUUUUAGAACUGAUCUUUUUUUUAAUCUAUUUGCUACUA
ensembl:processed_transcript